rnacentral:rRNA from 1 species
UACGGGGGGGGGCAAGCGUUGUUCGGAAUUACUGGGCGUAAAGGGCUCGUAGGCGGCCAACUAAGUCGGAUGUGAAAUCCCCAGGCUCAACCUGGGAACUGCAUCCGAUACUGGAUGGCUUGAAUUCGGGAGAGGGAUGCAGAAUUCCAGGUGUAGCGGUGAAAUGCGUAGAUAUUGGGAAGAACACCGGUGGCGAAGGCGGCCAUCUGGACCGCAACUGACGCUGAGGCGCGAAAGCGUGGGGGAGCAAACAGGG